ACUGAGUGGCGGACGGGCGAGGAACGCGUAAGAAUCUGCCUUUAGGAAAAGCAUAACAACUGGAAACGGUUCCUAAUACUUUAUAAGCUGAGAAGUUAAAUGGAUUUAUAUCCGCCUAGAGAUGAGCUUGCGUCUGAUUAGUUUGUUGGUAGGGUAAAAGCUUACCAAGACGACGAUCAGUAGUUGGUCUGAGAGGAUGACCAGCCGCAUUGGGACUGAGACACGGCCCAG
rnacentral:rRNA from 1 species